rnacentral:rRNA from 1 species
GUGGGGAAUAUUGGGCAAUGGAGGAAACUCUGACCCAGCAACGCCGCGUGAAGGAUGAAGGCCUUCGGGUUGUAAACUUCUGUUCUAAGGGAAGAAACAAAUGACGGUACCUUAGAAGAAAGCCCCGGCAAACUACGUGCCAGCAGCCGCGGUGAUACGUAGGGGGCAAGCGUUGUCCGGAAUGACUGGGCGUAAAGGGAGUGUAGGCGGUUUUUUAAGUUAAAUGUGAAAGCCCGGGGCUUAACUCCGGAACUGCAUUUAAUACUGGAAGACUAGAGUGUGGGAGAGGAAAGUGGAAUUCCUAGUGUAGCGGUGGAAUGCGUAGAUAUUAGGAGGAACAUCAGUGGCGAAGGCGACUUUCUGGAACAUAACUGACGCUGAGGCUCGAAAGCGUGGGGAGCAAACAGGA